rnacentral:rRNA from 1 species
UACGGGGGGGGCAAGCGUUGUUCGGAAUUACUGGGCGUAAAGGGCUCGUAGGCGGCCAACUAAGUCGGACGUGAAAUCCCUCGGCUUAACCGGGGAACUGCGUCCGAUACUGGAUGGCUUGAGAUUGGGAGAGGGAUGCGGAAUUCCAGGUGUAGCGGUGAAAUGCGUAGAUAUCUGGAGGAACACCGGUGGCGAAGGCGGGUCUCUGGGCCGAUACUGACGCUGAGGAGCGAAAGCGUGGGGAGCAAACAGG